GAUGAACGCUAGCUACAGGCUUAACACAUGCAAGUCGAGGGGCAGCAUGAACUUAGCUUGCUAAGUUUGAUGGCGACCGGCGCACGGGUGAGUAACACGUAUCCAACCUUCCGUUUACUCAGGGAUAGCCUUUCGAAAGAAAGAUUAAUACCUGAUAGUAUGGUGAGAUUGCAUGAUAGCACCAUUAAAGGAUUUAUUGGUAAACGAUGGGGAUGCGUUCCAUUAGGUAGUAGGCGGGGUAACGGCCCACCAAGCCGACGAUCGGUAGCCGACCUGAGAGGGUGAUCGGCCACAUUGGGACUGAGGCACGGCCCAAAACUCCUACGGGAGGCAGCAGUGGGGAAUAUUGGGCAAUGGAGGAAACUCUGACCCAGCAACGCCGCGUGGAGGAAGAAGGUUUUCGGAUCGU
rnacentral:rRNA from 1 species